AGGGCACCACCAGGAGUGGAGCCUGCGGCUUAAUUUGACUCAACACGGGAAAACUUACCCGGCCCGGACACUGGAAGGAUUGACAGAUUGAGAGCUCUUUCUUGAUUCAGUGGGUGGUGGUGCAUGGCCGUUCUUAGUUGGUGGAGCGAUUUGUCUGGUUAAUUCCGAUAACGAACGAGACUCUAGCCUACUAAAUAGACUACCGUUCCUUUGUGACGGUAGGACUUCUUAGAGGGACAGGCGGCGACUCAGCCGCACGAAACAGAGCAAUAACAGGUCUGUGAUGCCCUUAGAUGUCCGGGGCCGCACGCGCGCUACACUGAAGUGAUCAGCGUGCAUUAAUAACCCUCUCUGUCAAGAGUGGGUAACCCAUUGAACCUUCUUCAUGAUUGGGAUAGGGUGUUGUAAUUCUUACCCUUGAACGAGGAAUUCCCAGUAAGCGCGAGUCAUAAGCCUGCGUUGAUUACGUCCCUGUCCUUUGUACACACCGCCCGUCGCUACUACCCAGUGAAUGAUAUA
rnacentral:rRNA from 1 species